rnacentral:rRNA from 1 species
AUGAACGCUGGCGGCGUGCCUAAUACAUGCAAGUCGAGCGAACGGACGAGAAGCUUGCUUCUCUGAUGUUAGCGGCGGACGGGUGAGUAACACGUGGAUAACCUACCUAUAAGACUGGGAUAACUUCGGGAAACCGGAGCUAAUACCGGAUAAUAUUUUGAGCCGCAUGGUUCAAAAGUGAAAGACGGUCUUGCUGUCACUUAUAGAUGGAUCCGCGCUGCAUUAGCUAGUUGGUAAGGUAACGGCUUACCAAGGCAACAAUGCAUAGCCGACCUGAGAGGGUGAUCGGCCACACUGGAACUGAGACACGGUCCAGACUCCUACGGGAGGCAGCAGUAGGGAAUCUUCCGCAAUGGGCGAAAGCCUGACGGAGCAACGCCGCGUGAGUGAUGAAGGUCUUCGGAUCGUAAAACUCUGUUAUUAGGGAAGAACAUAUGUGUAAGUAACUGUGCACAUCUUGACGGUACCUAAUCAGAAAGCCACGGCUAACUACGUG